rnacentral:rRNA from 1 species
AACACAUUAGUUAAAAAGAAGAAAUGCUCCGGCGCUUUGGGAUGGUCUCGCGAUCUAUCAGCUUGUUGGUGAGGUAACGGCUCACCAAGGCAUCGACGGAUAGCUGGUCUGAGAGGAUGUCCAGCCACAUUGGAACUGAGACACGGUCCAAACUCCUACGGGAGGCAGCAGUAGGGAAUCUUGCACAAUGAGGGAAACCUUGAUGCAGCGACGCCGCGUGCGGGACGAAGGCCCUAGGGUUGUAAACCGCUUUCAGUAGGGACGAAAGUGACGGUACCUACAGAAGAAGCCCCGGCCAACUAUGUG